GACAGAGGGUGCAAACGUUGUUCGGAAUUACUGGGCGUAAAGCGUGUGUAGGCGGUCCUCUAAGUCGGGUGUGAAAUCCCUGGGCUCAACCCAGGAAGUGCACUCGAAACUGGCGGGCUAGAGUAUCGGAGAGGUUGGUGGAAUUCUCGGUGUAGAGGUGAAAUUCGUAGAUAUCGAGAGGAACACCGGUGGCGAAGGCGGCCAACUGGACGAAUACUGACGCUGAGACACGAAAGCGUGGGGAACAAACAGG
rnacentral:rRNA from 1 species